AAUAUUGGACAAUGGGGGCAACGGUGAUCCAGUGAUGCGGGUGUUGGUAAGAAGGUCUGGGUAUUGUAAAGCACUUUAAGGUGGGAGGAAGGGCAGGAAGUUGUGGUCUUGCUUGUUUGACGUUACCGACAGAAUAAGCACCGGCUAACUUCGUGCCCGCAGCCGCGGUAAUACGAAGGGUGCAAGCGUUAAUCGGAAUUACUUGGCGUAAAGCGCGCGUAGGUGGUUUGUUAAGUUGGAAGUGAAAGCCCCGGGCUCAACCUGGGAACUGCUUUCAAAACUGGCACACUAGAGUAUGGCAGAGGGUGGUCGAAUUUCCUGUGUAGCGGUGAAAUGCGUAGACCACCGAAGCAACACCAGUGGCGAAGGCGACUACCUGGACUGAUACUGACACUGAGGUGCGAAAGCGUGGGGAGCAAAC
rnacentral:rRNA from 1 species